ACACUGGGCAGAAUAGGGAAGCCUUGAACGCCAAGGCAAGGGAUGUGUUUUUUCUGCAACCUGUGUCUUUCUGUCUCCCUCUUUCAGGUAGUCUGGGUUGGAGGAGGCAGAGCCAUGACCAAGGGGACCUGGGUACUGGCUGAAGGAAUAGGCUGGGGUAGAGGGCACUUUUGGAAGGCACUUCUCCCACCUCCCGGGAGCCUAGAUCUCACUCCAGGGUCUGGGCUCCCAGGUGGACCGUGAAACCCUGGCCUGACCAGCUGAUGCACACUGCUUCAGACACUCCUGCUGGAGCCCCAGUCCCUGACAUGGACCUAGGACAUUUUUGCUCCUGCCCAGCCUAUCGGGAGGGAGCCUUGAGCCUUUCAGCUCUGCUGUGUGACUUUGAGGUUGUUGCUCCCCUCUUGGGGCCCUGGGUGCCCUGUCUUCAGUGGAAAGCACUGUGCCACCUUGGAAAGCUCCCAUGGGCAGCCAGAGGGCAUCGCAAGAAGAGAAGCACAGAAGGGGCAAGAGAGACACUCAGAGGCACUUCCGCUCUUGCCCAGGACAUUCUCCCAGCCACACCUUUGCCCAAGCCGUGCCC
rnacentral:sRNA from 1 species